rnacentral:rRNA from 1 species
GACGAACGCUGGCGGCGUGCUUAACACAUGCAAGUCGAACGGAAAGGCCCUGCUUUUGUGGGGUGCUCGAGUGGCGAACGGGUGAGUAACACGUGAGUAACCUGCCCUUGACUUUGGGAUAACUUCAGGAACUGGGGCUAAUACCGGAUAGGAGCUCCUGCUGCAUGGGGGGGGUUGGAAAGUUUCGGCGGUUGGGGAUGGACUCGCGGCUUAUCAGCUUGUUGGUGGGGUAGUGGCUUACCAAGGCUUUGACGGGUAGCCGGCCUGGGAGGGUGACCGGCCACCUUGGGCCUGAGAUACGGCGCAGACUCCUACGGGAGGCAGCAGUGGGGAAUCUUGCACAAUGGGCGGAAGCCUGAUGCAGCAACGCCGCGUGCGGGAUGACGGCCUUCGGGUUGUAAACCGCUUUCGCCUGUGACGAAGCGUGAGUGACGGUAAUGGGUAAAGAAGCACCGGCUAACUACGUG